UUUGCCUUUUCAGAAACUUCUAGCUGCCUUCUUGUGCCUCUCUCCCACUCUCCUGGAGUUCUCCCAGAACAAUAUGCUGAGAACAUUGAUAAGGUUGGAAUUGCCCAAAGGCCUUGCACCAGGAGCAAAUACUUUGCUCCUAAAGCAGACAUUCAGAUCUGGAAAAUCUGAAAGAGAACAUGGGCAUGAUUCCCUUCAUUUUAAAAAUCAUCUUGAAUCCUGAGGCACAUUUGAAAUGCAAGAUAUGUGAGGUGAAUGGCAGAAAAGAAAAAUACCAGAAGACUGAAUUUCCAAUAAAUCAAAGCAACCGAAUUUCAAUUUACAAUAGUGGAACUCAGGACAUAUUUUUUCCACCAAAACAUCCAACCAAGUAUGAGUGAGUGGCCUGGCCUUAACACAUUGUUUGUUUGAACAACAAUUUGAAGGAAAGUCGAUAUGUUGAUAAUAUAAUAUAGAGUAACUUCAGAAGGCCUUAUAAAGAAUGUGCAGUAGGAAGAAGAAAAUCUGGAACCCUGAGUUAGCCUGGUGGGAAAGUCAGCCUCAGCUGAAGCCUCAACAGGCAGCUUGGAUGCUUCUUGACAUCUACAUUAAGGUGAGUUCAAAGUGGGCAGCCCAUCAGUGAUUAUCUGUAAUACCUCUGGGGAGUUUCACAUUUCACUCUGUAUUCGCUUCUCGCUGGCUGUCAUAAUAAAGUCUUUCCAAA
rnacentral:lncRNA from 1 species